UUAUGCAAGUCGAGGGGUAUAAGUCUUCGGAUUUAGAGACCGGCGCACGGGUGCGUAACGCGUAUGCAAUCUACCUUUCACAAAGGGAUAGCCCAGAGAAAUUUGGAUUAAUACCUUAUAGUAUAUAGUUUUGGCAUCAAGAUUAUAUUAAAGAUUUAUCGGUGAAAGAUGAGCAUGCGUCCCAUUAGCUAGUUGGUAUGGUAACGGCAUACCAAGGCNACGAUGGGUAGGGGUCCUGAGAGGAGAUCCCCCACACUGGUACUGAGACACGGACCAGACUCCUACGGGAGGCAGCAGUGAGGAAUAUUGGACAAUGGGCGCAAGCCUGAUCCAGCCAUGCCGCGUGCAGGAUGACGGUCCUAUGGAUUGUAAACUGCUUUUAUACAGGAAGAAACACCUCUACGUGUAGAGACUUGACGGUACUGUAAGAAUAAGGAUCGGCUAACUCCGUGCCAGCAGCCGCGGUAAUACGGAGGAUCCAAGCGUUAUCCGGAAUCUUGGGUUUAAAGGGUCCGUAGGCGGUCAGAUAAGUCAGUGGUGAAAGCCCAUCGCUCANCGGUGGAACGGCCAUUGAUACUGUCUGGACUUGAAUUAUUAGGAAGUACUAGAAUUAUGUAGUGUAGCGGUGAAAUGCUUAGAGAUUACAUGGAAUACCAAUUGCGAAGGCAGGUUACUACUAAUUAUAUUGACGCUGAUUGGACGA
rnacentral:rRNA from 1 species